GACAACAAACCUCCUUUCAGAAUACAUUCUUUGUUGCUGCUGCACAAUCGAUAACGCUACCUACGUGCGGUCCAAUUUUAUGCGCUAGCUAGGGUACAGAACCUUCCACGAGGGAAUUCGCUUUUUCGCAAGAACAUAACGUUACAAGUUUGGUUAGCUCGGAAUGACACUCGGUAAAUGAGGUAUCCUGCAAACGCAUCCGAUUUAAAUUUAGGGAAGACCACCACCAAAUCAGUAAUUACACGCAACCAAUUAAUGAAAAUUCGGAUUUGCCAUAAACACGAAAAUUGUUCACUUUAUACAUAGCCAGAAAACCAAAGAAUGAGCGAAAGUGAAAUGCAACACUGAAAAUGUUAGCUAGUUAGCUAUAUUGAAUAAAAACGAUGGUAGCUGUACCAGUUUGCCGAUUGGCACUUGCUGAUGCCUCUGACCUCAGACCCUAAAAUGGCAUCUUGCAUUGAAAAAUAAACGAAAAUGGCGUCUAAUAACUGCAGGACUAAACCGAGGAAACGCGCUCAAACAGGGGUGCCUGGUGAAGUGGCUGGAGGUUCGCUGCGUCUGCCCCAUGUGCAACGAGCCCACCGCCGGCCGCCCAGGGCAGAGGCACAGCCUCGGGACGCUGCUGGACGAGCUGGUGUAGAGACACGCCGCAUCCACGCCAAUGGUACACCGCCGGCGAACAAAUCAGACACGCCAGCAACGAGCAAGAACGCGGAACAACCCUCUGGGCGGAGACCCCACACUGGCGACGAGUAAGGAGAACGCGGGAAGAACAGGCUGUCAAGAAAGCUUUUUAAAAAAACUCUGGGAACUGAGGCUUACGAUGUGGACAGUGGGACUCAACCAAAUGAGAUUGAAAUGUUCCUCUGACAGCGGCAGUUCAUCUAGUUCAUACAACACAUUUGAUGAACCUUGAGUCUGGAUGCAAGGGAUUACAAAUAAAUGUAAUUUACAGGAUGUUCCUGUUCAGGCUUGUGGACAUGAAGGAAAUUGGAACUAAUAUGGCAGUGCAAUUAUAUAUGUACAAUGACCAUGGGUCUCAGGGCGUGGAGGGCCACAAACCAGCUCUAUCUCACAAUGCACUGCCAUUCGUGUGUCUGACUGUAAAAGAAAAGAUGUGCAGAUUGAGGAGUCUCCUAAUAAAGGUUAUCCAGGCACGAUGGAGGGAAGGUCUUGGAGGUAGGCGAACAGUCCCGCCACACGGAGCAGCGAGGAACAGGAUUGGUUCAACAGGGGCGACCCUUAGUGACGAAAAAAUGAGUGGUAAAAGUGCCUGACAUUAGUAACUCACACAUUUCUGUUACCUCUUCAUAUACAGCAUUAAAUGGAAAUAAAACCCUUUUGUUUCAUUGUG